CAGUCGCCACGGUAAUACGAAGGGUGCAAGCGUUAAUCGGAAUUACUGGGCGUAAAGCGUGCGCAGGCGGUUCGCUAAGACAGAUGUGAAAUCCCCGGGCUUAGCCUGGGAACUGCAUUUGUGACUGGCGGGCUAGAGUAUGGCAGAGGGGGGUAGAAUUCCACGUGUAGCAGUGAAAUGCGUAGAGAUGUGGAGGAAUACCGAUGGCGAAGGCAGCCCCCUGGGCCAAUACUGACGCUCAUGCACGAAAGCGUGGGGAGCAAACAGGAUUAGAUACCCGUGUAGUCCCUGUCUCUUAUAC
rnacentral:rRNA from 1 species